CAUGGUAUAGUAACGUGUUUAUAUUAAUAAUAGUCGGUUUGGUGUUUGAGGUGUCGUACAUGGAGACGUGGAAAGGGAAGGUCCGUCCUCUUCUGUCCCAACACACUUCCUGUCCCUGUGACAGGACGUCCCGAUUUGCUCUGUCUUGACUCGCCUCUUUGUGUUUCAGAGUGUGAGCCUGUCCAGCGCCGCGGAGAAGUCUCUGGAGCUCAGAGGGCCCUAUGACAUCACCAACCUGUAUCCUUCCUAUUGGUUCAGACACAAACUGUAGUCUUCA